rnacentral:rRNA from 1 species
AGUGAACGCUGGCGGUAGGCCUAACGCAUGCAAGUCGAACGGCAGCACAAUAAGAGCUUGCUCUUACGGGUGGCGAGUGGCGGACGGGUGAGGAAUACAUCGGAAUCUACUUUUUCGUGGGGGAUAACGUAGGGAAACUUACGCUAAUACCGCAUACGACCUACGGGUGAAAGCAGGGGAUCUUCGGACCUUGCGCGAUUGAAUGAGCCGAUGUCGGAUUAGCUAGUUGGCGGGGUAAAGGCCCACCAAGGCGACGAUCCGUAGCUGGUCUGAGAGGAUGAUCAGCCACACUGGAACUGAGACACGGUCCAGACUCCUACGGGAGGCAGCAGUGGGGAAUAUUGGACAAUGGGCGCAAGCCUGAUCCAGCCAUGCCGCGUGGGUGAAGAAGGCCUUCGGGUUGUAAAGCCCUUUUGUUGGGAAACAAAAGCAGCAUGUUAAUACCCCGCUGUUCUGACGGUACCCAAAGAAUAAGCACCGGCUAACUUCGUG